UACGGGGGGGGCUAGCGUUGCUCGGAAUGACUGGGCGUAAAGGGCGCGUAGGCGGUUUGGACAGUCAGAUGUGAAAUUCCUGGGCUCAACCUGGGGGCUGCAUUUGAUACGUUCGGACUAGAGUGGGGAAGAGGGUCGUGGAAUUCCCAGUGUAGAGGUGAAAUUCGUAGAUAUUGGGAAGAACACCGGUGGCGAAGGCGGCGACCUGGUCCUUGACUGACGCUGAGGCGCGAAAGCGUGGGGAGCAAACAGG
rnacentral:rRNA from 1 species